rnacentral:rRNA from 1 species
AUUGAACGCUGGCGGCAGGCCUAACACAUGCAAGUAGAGCGAGUGGCGGACGGGUGCGUCAUGUGUGGGAAACUGCAAGAUGGAGGGGGAUAAAUACUGGAAACGGUAGCUAAUAACGAAUAACAUCGGCUCUGACCAGAUGGGAUUAGCUAGUAUGUGGGGUAACGGCUCACGUAGGCGACGAUCCAUAGCUGGUCUGAGAGGAUGACCAGCCACACUGGAACUGAGAAGCGGGCCAUGUUCCUACGGGAGACAGCAGGGGGGAAGAUUGCACAAUGGGCGCAAGCCAGAGGCAGCCAUGCCGCUUGUAUUAAGAAGGCCUUCGGGUUGUAGAGUACUGUCAGCGAGGAGGCGUGACUCGCAGAAGAAGCAUCGGCUAACUCCGGGCCAGCAGCCGCGGUAAUAC